rnacentral:rRNA from 1 species
UACGUAGGUGGCAAGCGUUGUCCGGAAUUAUUGGGCGUAAAGCGCGCGCAGGCGGUCCUUUAAGUCUGAUGUGAAAGCCCACGGCUCAACCGUGGAGGAUCAUUGGAAACUGGGGGACUUGAGUACAGAAGAGAAGAGUGGAAUUCCACGUGUAGCGGUGAAAUGCGUAGAGAUGUGGAGGAACACCAGUGGCGAAGGCGACUCUUUGGUCUGUAACUGACGCUGGAGGC